AGAGAGUGUCAAAUUCUCAAAUCAAGACAGAAUAAUUCAUCCUAAGAGGUAAUUUAUACCGACUAAGCUGUCUGAGGCUUUGGAGAUCAGCUUUUGGCAUGUGUUUCUCUACAGCUUGCACAGUGGACCACAACAUGCUAUAUAGAUGAUUCAUGGGCUGGAGACUUUCUGCACAUGCAGGGUCCAAGGAGUCGCAGCGGAUUUAAAGGUCAUUUGAAAUGCAGCCUUUUGCUCUUUGACAGCCCUUUCAAUAUCAGCCUCCAGUUCUGUUUUACAAAGUCAUCAUUAUUAACUGCGUCUGUGGCUACUGCUAUUUUCCUGGGUUUGCAGAGAAACCUGAGAUACUAA
rnacentral:lncRNA from 1 species